rnacentral:rRNA from 1 species
AGUGGAUUAGCGGCGGACGGGUGAGUAACACGUGGGUAACCUGCCUCAAAGUGGGGGAUAGCCUUCCGAAAGGAAGAUUAAUACCGCAUAAGAUAAGAGAAUCGCAUGAUUUUGUUAUCAAAGAUUUAUUGCUUUGAGAUGGACCCGCGGCGCAUUAGCUAGUUGGUAAGGUAACGGCUUACCAAGGCAACGAUGCGUAGCCGACCUGAGAGGGUGAUCGGCCACAUUGGAACUGAGACACGGUCCAGACUCCUACGGGAGGCAGCAGUGGGGAAUAUUGCGCAAUGGGGGAAACCCUGACGCAGCAACGCCGCGUGGGUGAUGAAGGUCUUCGGAUUGUAAAGCCCUGUUUUCUGGGACGAUAAUGACGGUACCAGAGGAGGAAGCCACGGCUAACUACGUGCCAGCAGCCGCGGUAAUACGUAGGUGGCGAGCGUUGUCCGGAUUUACUGGGCGUAAAGGGUGCGUAGGCGGAUGUUUAAGUGGGAUGUGAAAUCCCCGGGCUUAACCUGGGGGCUGCAUUCCAAACUGGAUAUCUAGAGUGCAGGAGAGGAAAGCGGAAUUCCUAGUGUAGCGGUGAAAUGCGUAGAGAUUAGGAAGAACACCAGUGGCGAAGGCGGCUUUCUGGACUGUAACUGACGCUGAGGCACGAAAGCGUGGGUAGCAAACAGGAUUAGAUACCCUGGUAGUCCACGCCGUAAACGAUGGAUACUAGGUGUAGGGGGUAUCAACUCCCCCUGUGCCGCAGUUAACACAAUAAGUAUCCCGCCUGGGGAGUACGGUCGCAAGAUUAAAACUCAAAGGAAUUGACGGGGGCCCGCACAAGCAGCGGAGCAUGUGGUUUAAUUCGAAGCAACGCGAAGAACCUUACCUGGACUUGACAUCCCUUGCAUAGCCUAGAGAUAGGUGAAGCCCUUCGGGGCAAGGAGACAGGUGGUGCAUGGUUGUCGUCAGCUCGUGUCGUGAGAUGUUAGGUUAAGUCCUGCAACGAGCGCAACCCUUGUUAUUAGUUGCUACCAUUAAGUUGAGCACUCUAAUGAGACUGCCUGGGUAACCAGGAGGAAGGUGGGGAUGACGUCAA